CCCGUUCCUGUUUCUAGGAAACUGUCGGCUCGAGAGCAGAGAGACUGUGAGGUCAUCGAGAGGCUCAUCAAGUCCUACUUCCUAAUCGUACGAAAAAAUAUCCAGGACAGUGUACCAAAGGCAGUGAUGCACUUCCUGGUGAACCACGUGAAGGACUGUCUGCAGAGCGAGCUGGUGGGCCAGUUAUACAAGACAACCCUGCUGGACGAACUGCUGACGGAGUCCGAGGACAUGGCGCAGAGACGUAACGAGACCGCUGACAUGCUCAAGGCGCUGCAGAAGGCCAGUCAGGUCAUAGCAGAGAUCAGAGAAACUCA